UACGAAGGGGGCUAGCGUUGCUCGGAAUUACUGGGCGUAAAGCGCACGUAGGCGGAUUGUUAAGUCGGGGGUGAAAUCCUGGAGCUCAACUCCAGAACUGCCUUCGAUACUGGCGAUCUCGAGUUCGGGAGAGGUGAGUGGAACUGCGAGUGUAGAGGUGAAAUUCGUAGAUAUCAGGAGGAACACCAACGGCGAAGGCAGCUCGCUGGGACGGUACUGACACUGAGGCGCGAAAGCGUGGGGAGCGAACAGG
rnacentral:rRNA from 1 species